GCCCAAGAGAUCGGGAUAACACCUGGAAACAGAUGCUAAUACCGGAUAACAACAGAUGAUGCCUAUCAACUGUUUAAAAGAUGGUUCUGCUAUCACUCUUGGAUGGACCUGCGGUGCAUUAGCUAGUUGGUAGGGUAACGGCCUACCAAGGCGAUGAUGCAUAGCCGAGUUGAGAGACUGAUCGGCCACAUUGGGACUGAGACACGGCCCAAACUCCUACGGGAGGCAGCAGCCC
rnacentral:rRNA from 1 species